GUGGGGAAUAUUGGACAAUGGGCGAAAGCCUGAUCCAGCCAUGCCGCGUGUGUGAAGAAGGUCUUCGGAUUGUAAAGCACUUUAAGUUGGGAGGAAGGGCAGUAAGUUAAUACCUUGCUGUUUUGACGUUACCAACAGAAUAAGCACCGGCUAACUUCGUGCCAGCAGCCGCGGUAAUACGAAGGGUGCAAGCGUUAAUCGGAAUUACUGGGCGUAAAGCGCGCGUAGGUGGUUUUGUAAGUUGGAGGUGAAAUCCCCGGGCUCAACCUGGGAACUGCCUCCAAAACUGCAGGACUAGAGUACGGUAGAGGGUAGUGGAAUUUCCUGUGUAGCGGUGAAAUGCGUAGAUAUAGGAAGGAACACCAGUGGCGAAGGCGACUACCUGGACUGAUACUGACACUGAGGUGCGAAAGCGUGGGGAGCAAACAGGAUUAGAAACCCCUGUAGUCC
rnacentral:rRNA from 1 species